ACUGAUGGACUUCAAGAUGCUGAAACAUCUCUCCGUCGAUCUCAAAGAGUGCACACAAAGCCUAACAGAUUAGAUUAUGUAACACUAGGAAAUCCUCUGAUGAUGGUGGUGAAUUCUCUGUUCCAGGGUCUAAGUGAUGCAUUGACUAGCUCCUUGAAUGGUUUUGAGAAUGUAUCCCAUAAUUCCGUCAGGCAUCCUUAAGCUGUGUGACUCCAUGUCACAUUGCAGAUGCCCAGGGACGGGCAUACCCUUCAGAGGGGAGGGUGUAACCCACAUAAAGUGGGUAUGCCACUUUAAGAGAAGAGGUUAAGGAAGCUGGGUGGUCUGCCUGGCCAAUGAGAAGUUUAGUUUCCAGAGCGUCUGGACCAAUCAGGGUGCAGGCUGCCGUUGUGGAUCCCGCCCUUCUCCCCCGGGUCUGCAGUACCGUUGGUUUUGCUCUAGAGAUCCGACGCGGUGAGACUGCUGAGCGGGGCAGCGCCAGAAGCCGUUAGGAAUCGUUGGCUCUUUCUGGCAGUUAUUUCAGCUUGUUCUUCGUAGAUAAAAGUGCCCCACGCAUCCGGAUUGAGACCCACUAUACGGUUGUCUGAAGUGUGUCGCACUGAGAUCGGUGAGCAUAUUCGGAGCCUUUUAUUUGUGUUUUUGUCGUUUGUUACAUUGUUGUUAAAAAAAUAUCCGUUGUUUUAGUAACUAGGUAAUGUUUUGUUACUGUGUUGGAAAGAAGGAUUAAAGCUAGAACGGCUUGGUAAAGUCCUGUAUUUCUGCUGGUCCUGUCUGUUGACAGGUCAGGUUUUUUUUUAUACUGGAUCAUUCCUGAAGAGGAUCCCUCCUUUGAUAUUGAUGGCGAGCCUUCCCACCUGGACCUAAAGAGAGAACCAGAUUUCGUCUAUCCCAUUUGGAGUCAUGCUGCACCCUGCGGUGUGGUAGGAGAGCAACAUACAUCUUCACACACGGUUGUGUGUGAGACCUACAACUGACAUUCUCCAUUAUUAUUGUUUUUUUUUAAUUUAUUGAUCUUUGGACAAUACUUUUUGGAUUGUUUUAUUUCGGACAUUGUGACGCACAGCUGUGGUGGAAAUUCUCCUGUGAAUGAAGUUGAAUCAAACCAAAUUGGGAUUAAUUUGAUUAAUCUGCUGACUAAUACAAUUUGGAGUGCAGAUUACCAGGGUGCACCCGAAUUAUUUGAAAUUAAGAAUUAGCACUUGGCCAAGUAUUAUUGUUAUUUCUUUUUUUUAUUUUAUUGUGUGUAAUUUUAUUUUCAUAAUUGUGUGUUUUGUGCAACUGUUAAUUGUGUGUUUUCUGUCACUAAAACCAGUUCUUUAAAUACA